AGUUUGAUCCUAGCUCAGAACGAACGCUGGCGGCGCGUUUUAAGCAUGCAAGUCGUGCGGUAAGAAGGAGUAAUCCUUCCUAGAGCGGCGGACUGGUGAGUAACACGUGGGUGACUUACCUUUAGGUUGGGGAUAGCUGAUAGAAAUAUUAGGUAAUACCGAAUGUGAUUAUUAGACUCUAGUCUUUUAAAGAAAGAAGCUUUUGGCUUCGCCUAAAGAUAGGCCUGCGCCUCAUUAGCUAGUUGGUAGUGUAAUGGACUACCAAGGCAAUGAUGAGUAGCCGACCUGAGAGGGUGAACGGCCACACUGGGACUGAGAUACGGCCCAGACUCCUACGGGAGGCAGCAGCUAAGAAUCUUCCGCAAUGGACGAAAGUCUGACGGAGCGACGCCGCGUGAAUGAUGAAGGCCGAAAGGUUGUAAAAUUCUUUUAUCGAUAAGGAAUAAAUGUUUGAGGAAAUGCUUACAUGAUGACGUUAGUCGAUGAAUAAGCCCCGGCUAAUUACGUGCCAGCAGCCGCGGUAAUACGUAAGGGGCAAGCGUUGUUCGGAAUUAUUGGGCGUAAAGAGUGUGUAGGCGGCUUUAUAAGCCUGACGUGAAAUACUAGAGCUUAACUCUAGAACUGCGUUAGGAACUAUAAACCUAGAGUCAUAGAGAGGAAGUUGGAAUUCCAGGUGUAGGGGUGAAAUCUGUAGAUAUCUGGAGGAACACCAGUGGCGAAGGCGAACUUCUAGCUAAUGACUGACGCUGAGACACGAAGGUGCGGGGAGCAAACAGGAUUAGAUACCCUGGUAGUCCGCACAGUAAACGAUGUGCACUAGAUAUUGGAUCAAGAGAUUCAGUAUCGGAGCUAACGCGGUAAGUGCACCGCCUGGGGAGUACACUCGCAAGGGUGAAACUCAAAGGAAUUGACGGGGGCUCGCACAAGCGGUGGAGCAUGUGGUUUAAUUCGAUGGUACGCGAGGAACCUUACCUGGGUUUGACAUCAAGUGGAAUAUAAUAGAGAUAUUAUAGCGUAGUAAUACGUCAUUUGACAGGUGCUGCAUGGCUGUCGUCAGCUCGUGCCGUGAGGUGUUGGGUUAAGUCCCGCAACGAGCGCAACCCUUACUGCCAGUUACUAACAGAAUAAGCUGAGAACUCUGGCGGAACUGCCGGUGGCAAACCGGAGGAAGGUGAGGACGACGUCAAGUCAUCAUGGCCCUUAUGUCCAGGGCUACACACGUGCUACAAUGGUUGGUACAAAGCGCUGCAAAAUCGUAAGAUGUAGCAAAUCGCAUAAAGCCAAUCGUAGUUCGGAUUGAAGUCUGAAACUCGACUUCAUGAAGUUGGAAUCGCUAGUAAUCGCGCAUCAGCUCGGCGCGGUGAAUACGUUCCCGGGCCUUGUACACACCGCCCGUCACACCAUCCGAGUUAGAGAUACCCGAAACCAUUAGUUUAACCGUUAAAGGAUGACGAUGUCUAAGGUGUGUCUGGUAAGGAGGGUGAAGUCGUAACAAGGUA
rnacentral:rRNA from 1 species